GUGCAGCAGUCGAGAAACUUUACAAUGUGCGAAAGCACGAUAAGGGAACUCUGAGUGCCUCCUAAGGAGGCUGUUCAGGUGUCUAAAAGCACCUGAAGGAAGGGCUGGGUAAGACCGGUGCCAGCCGCCGCGGUAACACCGGCAGCCCAAGUGGUAGCCACGUUUAUUGGGUCUAAAGCGUCCGUAGCCGGCUGGGUAAGUUCCUUGGGAAAUUUGGCUGCUUAACAGUCAAGCUUUCAGGGAAUACUGCUCGGCUUGGGACCGGGAGAGGUCAGAGGUACUCCAGGGGUAGGGGUGAAAUCCAUUAAAUCCGUUGGGGGACCACCGGUAGCGAAGGCGUCUGACCAGACCGGGUCCGACGGUGAGGGACGAAGGCUAGGGGCGCGAACCGGAUUAGAUACCCC
rnacentral:rRNA from 1 species